GGACUACCGGGGUAUCUAAUCCUGUUUGCUCCCCACGCUUUCGCGCCUCAGCGUCAGUUACUGUCCAGAAAGCCGCCUUCGCCACUGGUGUUCCUCCUAAUAUCUACGCAUUUCACCGCUACACUAGGAAUUCCGCUUUCCUCUCCAGUACUCAAGAUUAAUAGUUUCAGAUGCAAUUCCCAAGUUGAGCCUGGGUAUUUCACAUCUGACUUAUUAACCCGCCUACACGCCCUUUACACCCAGUAAUUCCGGAUAACGCUCGCCACCUACGUAUUACCGCGGCUGCUGGCAC
rnacentral:rRNA from 1 species